rnacentral:rRNA from 3 species
UUGACCUCGGAUCAGGUAGGGAUACCCGCUGAACUUAAGCAUAUCAAUAAGCGGAGGAAAAGAAACCAACAGGGAUUGCCUCAGUAACGGCGAGUGAAGCGGC